rnacentral:rRNA from 1 species
AUGUUGUUAAUUCGAUGAUACGCGAAGAACCUUACCAGGUCUUGACAUCCCCUGCAAAGCUAUAGAGAUAUAGUGGAGGUUAUCAGGGAGACAGGUGGUGCAUGGUUGUCGUCAGCUCGUGUCGUGAGAUGUUGGGUUAAGUCCCGCAACGAGCGCAACCCUUAUUGCUAGUUACCAUCAUUAAGUUGGGGACUCUAGCGAGACUGCCAGUGAUAAACUGGAGGAAGGUGGGAUGACGUCAAAUCAUCAUGCCCCUUAUGACCUGGGCUACAAACGUGAUACAAUGGCUGGAACAGAGGGCAGCGAAGCAGUGGAUGUGAAGCGAAACCCAAAAAUACAGUCUCAGUUCGGAUUGAAGUCUGCAACUCGACUUCAUGAAGUUGGAAUCGCUAGUAAUCGCGGAUCAGAACGCCGCGGUGAAUACGUUCUCGGGGUUU